CUGGGGCAGAGGUGUGCCCCAAGGAGCAGCAGAAGGAGAGCUUUGCUCCACCCUCUGUGCUGGGGUUCAGAGGCUGCUUUGAGCUGGCAGAGGGAGAACUGAAUUCACAAGCUUGAGCUCCCUCUUUCCGGACACUACGUGGGCAUGCUGUGAAGGCUAGAGCGUGACAUGGUCCUGCUUUUCCUGGCAGCCUUGUUGGCACUGUCAGACUUUGGUCAUGCACAAGACUCUGUGGUGCAGUUUGCCCAAGAAACUGCCAUCCAGGUGGGACACAAUGCAACUCUGCACUGCAAUUUCUCCACCAGCAGCUCUCUUCCCUAUAUCUUCUGGUACCAGCAGCGCCUGACCCAGUCCCCUCAGUUCUUGCUGCAGGUGAGCAAGUUCAAGCCUCAUGUGCAUUCUGAGAGGAUCUCCUCUGUGCUCUCCAUGGAGAACUCCCAGGUGCUUCUCCACGUGCAAGAUGCCAAGCUCCAGGACAGCGCUGUCUACCUGUGUGCACUGAGCCCACACUGGUGCCCUCAGCUUGCAGCUUUAUACAGGAAGGUGCGGGUGCUGUGAGGUGCAGUUCCCUCUCAUCACAGUUUGCAUGGAGCUCUGAGCUGAGCCUGCCCAGCAAGGACACCUGGGGCUUGUGGUGAGCCAGGUGUGAGUGGCAGCCCCUGCUCCUGAUGCCUGGCAGUGUGGUUAGCAUAACCAACAGUAAGGCAAAUAUCCAGAAUGUGGAAGGGGGCUGUUAAUGUGCACCUCUGCCUCCUUGUCUCUCCUCUUCACUGGCCCCAGUGUGUGGAGACAGCCAUUGUUGUGGUGAGAAAGGGCACUGGUGUUAUCAAGCCCUCAGUGCUGAGUCACCACGAGGGUGUGGGGAGCAGCUAUUGAAUGGGGGAUUAAACCCAUCAGUGUUAUCAAUACCCAGGUUCUGGGUUGGCAGGAGAUGGUGACACCUUUUUGGGAAUAGGGAAGAAUAACAGCACAGCAAGCCCUGUCUAUAAAAUCAGGCAGCAGCAAUUCCUAAGUGGGAGUUAGUGCAGGACUGUUGUUGGAAGGCAAAGCCUGUGAUCCCUGCUGGUCAGGGAUGUAUCCACCAUUGUCUUUUUCCUCUGAGGACUGAGUGAGCGACUAGUGUUCAUUUAUGUAAAGCAUGUUUCCAAGCUGUGAGUUUAUCACAUGGUGAUAGGUGAUCUGCAGAGGGUCUGUCCUGGUGACUAAAUCUUAUGUAACUGAGCCUCCUAAAAAUGUAGUGCAACUCUACUCUGUGAUAAACACUAGAAACUGUAGAAAGAACCUGCCUGUGUUCUGUAGUGUUGGGUGACAGAAUUGUGAGUAGUCAGCAGGAUCAUUGUAUUAGAAUAAUGAAUGCUUCCCUUGACAAAUGGGCCACACUGUGGAAGCAUUUUCUUGGAAAUGGAUGGCAAUAUCCAAAGCAGGAAAGGCUAAGGUCAAUAAGCCACCAUCCAAAUGCUGCAGGGAAUUAACUAACUACAUAGCAAGAUUUGUAAGGUAAGGAAAGGGAAAAGGAAAGAAGGUGUUGGUUGUCAGAUGCAUUGUGGAAAAUUAAGAAGGAAUGGGCUGGAAGUUUAGAGGAAGAAAACAGAAGGUUGAAAAGGGAAUUAGUUGACAAAUAAAAAUGCCUUCCGCCCAUGCAGUACAUCAUUUUUUGGAGAAAGAAUAUUCACGCUGCCUGGAGGGUUUGAAAGGAACAGUUGGGGUCUGCAGGGUUUGGAGUGUCAUUCCUGUGGGUGUCUGAGUCCUCCACCUUCACGAUAUGCUGAGGUAUGGGGGAAGACAGUGCAAUGGUCCCAAUAGUUGCCAAGCCUGACAAGGUGUUAGUGGUGGUGAUAGAGGGGGCCCAAGCAUCAGGGAAGCCAAGACUGCCACGGAUGUAGCCCUGGGUGGGUGCCCCCUGUGGUCUAUCAGUGUGAGUGCAGGAGACCCACUGAUCCCAUAUCCUUUUCCCUGCUGACUGCCCACCCCUACAGAAUUGAUUGUCCUUGUCCCCUCUGGGCUUUUAGUACCUCACACCCCAUUAAAGCCAGGUUCCUGUUGCAAAAGCUAGGUUAUCCUGCCAGAACAGGACACAGAAUGAGACACUGGGCUGCUACACAGCAUG